GCGNCGGCCUAUCAUGCAGUCGAGCGAACAGAUAAGGAGCUUGCUCCUUUGACGUUAGCGGCGGACGGGUGAGUAACACGUGGAUAACCUACCUAUAAGACUGGGAUAACUUCGGGAAACCGGAGCUAAUACCGGAUAACAUAUUGAACCGCAUGGUUCAAUAGUGAAAGGCGGCUUUGCUGUCACUUAUAGAUGGAUCCGCGCCGUAUUAGCUAGUUGGUAAGGUAACGGCUUACCAAGGCAACGAUACGUAGCCGACCUGAGAGGGUGAUCGGCCACACUGGAACUGAGACACGGUCCAGACUCCUACGGGAGGCAGCAGUAGGGAAUCUUCCGCAAUGGGCGAAAGCCUGACGGAGCAACGCCGCGUGAGUGAUGAAGGUCUUCGGAUCGUAAAACUCUGUUAUCAGGGAAGAACAAAUGUGUAAGUAACUGUGCACAUCUUGACGGUACCUGAUCAGAAAGCCACGGCUAACUACGUGCCAGCAGCCGCGGUAAUACGUAGGUGGCAAGCGUUAUCCGGAAUUAUUGGGCGUAAAGCGCGCGUAGGCGGUUUUUUAAGUCUGAUGUGAAAGCCCACGGCUCAACCGUGGAGGGUCAUUGGAAACUGGAAAACUUGAGUGCAGAAGAGGAAAGUGGAAUUCCAUGUGUAGCGGUGAAAUGCGCAGAGAUAUGGAGGAACACCAGUGGCGAAGGCGACUUUCUGGUCUGUAACUGACGCUGAUGUGCGAAAGCGUGGGGAUCAAACAGGAUUAGAUACCCUGGUAGUCCACGCCGUAAACGAUGAGUGCUAAGUGUUAGGGGGUUUCCGCCCCUUAGUGCUGCAGCUAACGCAUUAAGCACUCCGCCUGGGGGAGUACGACCGCAAGGUUGAAACUCAAAGGAAUUGACGGGGACCCGCACAAGCGGUGGAGCAUGUGGUUUAAUUCGAAGCAACGCGAAGAACCUUACCAAAUCUUGACAUCCUUUGACCGCUCUAGAGAUAGAGUCUUCCCCUUCGGGGGACAAAGUGACAGGUGGUGCAUGGUUGUCGUCAGCUCGUGUCGUGAGAUGUUGGGUUAAGUCCCGCAACGAGCGCAACCCUUAAGCUUAGUUGCCAUCAUUAAGUUGGGCACUCUAAGUUGACUGCCGGUGACAAACCGGAGGAAGGUGGGGAUGACGUCAAAUCAUCAUGCCCCUUAUGAUUUGGGCUACACACGUGCUACAAUGGACAAUACAAAGGGCAGCUAAACCGCGAGGUCAAGCAAAUCCCAUAAAGUUGUUCUCAGUUCGGAUUGUAGUCUGCAACUCGACUACAUGAAGCUGGAAUCGCUAGUAAUCGUAGAUCAGCAUGCUACGGUGAAUACGUUCCCGGGUCUUGUACACACCGCCCGUCACACCACGAGAGUUUGUAACACCCGAAGCCGGUGGAGUAACCAUUUAUGGAGCNAGCCUCGAAGNGGC
rnacentral:rRNA from 1 species